rnacentral:lncRNA from 1 species
AGAAGAUCAGGAGAUUAAAAAAAUCAUGGUAAUAAAUAUAGUUAUUUUAGGUGCAAACAGACUUCUGGCUAACAAAGAGUCUAACAUUUUCUUGAUGGUUUCAGCUGAAUGCUCUGUGUUAUGAGCAUACUGAUAUGUUGUGCAAUUCUCUGGUGAAUUGUGGAGUAUGUAUAUAAAAUAUAAAUAACAACUACAGAAAGAGUAAAAAAAUAGGUGCAGUACUUGGUUAUCAUAGGUAUUAUAUAGGUGAUGCUUUCUCGGACAUAAAUUUUAAAGACUUUUUUUUCCUACUUUCUACUUUUAUGUAUUGUAUGAUGUAUUUCUCUGACUUGAAUUGUGUCAAAUCUGUAUUUGAUCUACUUACGACUUUUUUUUCUUUUCUUUUUUUUCUUUUUUUUUUUUUUUUUUGCAGGUUAAAAAAUGAAGAGUUUACCUAUUCCUGUAAAAAGAUUCAGUAAACUCUAAAAGAAUAAGGUAUCUUCCAGCCUUCACUGAUAACUGAUCAUCCACUAAAACACACAGAUGCCUUGCAAUGUGUUGAUGAUCUUUUUAGAGCCCAAUGAAGAUUUUGGAACAGCAAAUAUCAUGUCAGAGUCCUCAAAGCCCUGUCAAGAGGAGAAAGAAAUUAGAAAACAAGUCCAUGCGUGUGUGCAUGCUCGUGAGACUAAAUUCUUGUGAAAUACUGGACCUGACUGCUGAGUUCAUAAAAGCAAGGGGAGAAAAUGGGAAGAACCAGAAUGAGAAAUCUCCUGGGCUGAGUUGAAGAUGGGGAAAUUGCUCACUGGUAACUGUCAUGGACAGAACACACUCAACCUUACCUAAUCUUAAGGUAAGGAAAAUUACCUUAUUUUAUUACCAGCUAAAAAUAUAACUACAAAUUAGAUAGUGGUAAAUAGAAAGACAAAUUUUAAAAGAAAACCUUUCCUUCACCUUCUCAAAGGCUCGGUUUUACGCUUUUGCUCCAGGCUACCAACUCACCACACCAAGUGGUGCAGCAGCAGGUAAGUAAUGGGGGCUUGGGCCACUCUGUAACAGUUCCUCUCCAUUCCCUCUCCUCACAUAUUUUCACUGCUCCCUCCAGUGUGAUCUUCUCCAUGGGCUACAGGGCAAUCUGUUCCAGAGCCUCUUCCUCAUCCGUAUUCUCCGGUGAUUGCACCGCUGUUCCUCACAUUUUUCCUCUAAUGCAGCAUUUUGCCCUUUCUUAUGUUUUCCCAUACAUGCCAUGCAUGUGACUAAUGGCUUCAGCUGCGUGCUGACAAAUUCUUAAGUUUUCUUGGACGUACGAAGAGCUGUGAAGAAGUUGGACAUUUAACAACAAAAAAAUUCUGAUCUCCUUUCCCUAUCUUAUUCGAAAAUUGAUUGAAAACAUUGUUUUGAGGAUCAAAAUCCAGGUCUGUGCUGUUGCUCUGUAACUACAAUUCAGUUUUCUUCCAGUAGCACAGUG